rnacentral:rRNA from 1 species
UUCGGGAGACAGGGAGGACAGGUGGUGCAUGGUUGUCGUCAGCUCGUGUCGUGAGAUGUUGGGUUAAGUCCCGCAACGAGCGCAACCCCUACGUUUAGUUGCUAACGCGUGAAGGCGAGCACUCUAGACGAACUGCCGUUGACAAACGGAGGAAGGUGGGGAUGACGUCAAAUCAUCAUGCCCCUUAUGUUCUGGGCUACACACGUGCUACAAUGGCCGGUACAGACGGACGCAAAGCCGCGAGGUGGAGCAAAUCCUAGAAAGCCGGUCUCAGUUCGGAUUGCAGGCUGCAAUUCGCCUGCAUGAAGUCGGAAUCGCUAGUAAUCGCAGGUCAGCAUACUGCGGUGAAUACGUUCCCGGGCCUU